CACCUGGCAGCCUCAGUUCCUGGUUCUGCUCUAGAGGGGCGUUUGUACCUGGAAAAUGCCUGAGGCCAGGGGACAGCAGCAGCACACACAAACACCUCAGGGCAAAGAUUGCUAUCCUGAAAUGUGGUCAUGACACAAAGCAGCGCUGCUGUGACUACAGAUGUAGAGAUGUACCCACCCUGAGCGGUGCAGUCAGACACAGACAUCCAGGCAGUUUGACUGCAGCAGUCGCAGCAGGGAGCGUCCCCCCUGCAGCAGCUGCUGUCUCCAGCUCUGUGACGGAAUCUGCAGGACACGUGGACAAGCACACACCUCUACUGCUUUCAGGCAUUGCAGGGAGCCAGCUGGACCAAUACUGUGCCCCCAUCCUCUCCUCCAACAGGAUGGGCUCCUGGGAUGUGCCUGUAGACCUGCUCCAUCCCAUCCAACUCUCUCCUGUCCAUCUGGCUUCUGCUGCAAGGGCUUCCUCCAGCCCUGGGAUGACAGCUGCCUACUGGCACAUGGGCCAUCACUCUGUUCCUAUCCACUAUCCCAUAGCAACUCAAUGUUCCUUAUGCAAGGAGAUCAUAAGUGCCACUAAAAUCCAAAUCAUCUUUGCUGAGGACUAAAAGAUCCCAUCCACAUGAGUGAGCUGAGUCUGUGCUUCUAUAAAUUGUUCCCAAAUGUUUGCUCAUGCCAUCCACUUCCACAGUGACUGCCUAGGGACUCACACCCUGCUUUCAUCUGAGUGAUUCACCAUCAGAAUGUCCUGACCAAGACCAUGUUCUAACCACGGUCAGAAAAACAUUGUUUUAUGCAUUUGUCACUUUCUCUGUAAGAUAAUACCCUCACCUUAGUUCAGCUGGAUCAGAAGGAUGAAUGAAUUAUUAAUCAGAUAUAAUAAUUCAGAUCUGGGGGAGGGGAGAAGCACCAACAUUUAUGAAUUAUCUUAUGAAUACAAUAUAAAUUAUUCAGCAGCUAUACAUCCUUCUCACAAAGGAAAUCAAAUAUUUUUUGGCUGUAGUAGGCUUGCAGACUCCUAAACAGAGAAAGAAAGAAAGAAAGAUAAAUCCUAAAACAUAAAUGCAAACAAAAAAUGUAAGUAACCGUGGUUUUGAAAGACCUCAGUGGGGAAGUUUUCCCAUGUCACAUUCACCUGUGACUUUGCCCAGCAUUUUAGGGGAAAAAAACCUGGUUUUUUUCUUAAGACAAACAUUUGUGAAGCUCUUGUUUUACUUGGGUAAGUUCAUUUCAUUGUAUUUGUUUAUUGCCUAUUUGUGUGCGUGUGUAAUGAAAUCUCAUCCAUUCUGUAAUAUGCUAACUUUCAUAAAUUAGAACAAAACACCUUUAAGAUUAAAAUUGUAUUCCUGCCUGUAGUGAUUUUACCAUUAAUUUAACAAAGCCAGAACUCAAUCCUAAAAUUUCAGAAAUUGGGGGAAUGACUAUACGCAGAAUUUUGAACCCAAUGGACUUAUUAUUUUCCUUUUUAAGCUCACACUCUUUCACAGCUGUAAAGGCUUGUGGUUUAAAACAGAAUGGCAGCUUGUGUGAGUUAGGCAAGUGAGGUCUUUCUGACCAAAUUGAAGAUUUUUUUUUCUUUCUUUACAAACCCUAGGGGAAAACAAACAUUCCUUUCUACUUUACUUUGUUAGCUGCAGUAUCUCCCACUCAUUGGUGUACUUCAGCAAAGAAAUCGUUCUGCCAAAUGCAAGUAAAGUGUACUGAAAGAACUUAACUGAUCUGUUGAUGGAUCAUGUAAAUACUCUGUUUAAAGGGGUACUGAUUGUAGAGAAAAUUAUAAGCAUUUUAAGAGACUCUUUUUUCAUUGACAGCAAUAUUCAAUAUUAGCAACCCAUUUUAUGAGCAAUACAAUCAUGCAAAAGAAAUGCUUACAUUCACUGCAAAAUAAAAAAGUGCAAAAUUUAGUUUAGAGGGCGGAA
ensembl:lncRNA